rnacentral:rRNA from 1 species
UACGUAGGGUGCAAGCGUUGUCCGGAAUUAUUGGGCGUAAAGAGCUCGUAGGCGGUUUGUCGCGUCGGCCGUGAAAUCUCCACGCUUAACGUGGAGCGUGCGGUCGAUACGGGCAGACUUGAGUUCGGUAGGGGAGACUGGAAUUCCUGGUGUAGCGGUGAAAUGCGCAGAUAUCAGGAGGAACACCGGUGGCGAAGGCGGGUCUCUGGGCCGAUACUGACGCUGAGGAGCGAAGGCGUGGGGAGCGAACAGG